UUAAAGAGUUCUAUAACUCCCAAACCCAUGUGAACAUACCUAACGUUGCCUCGGCAGGUCGCACCUACCUUGUAGCACCCUACCCUGUAGGGCCUACCCGGGAGGUGCGGGUAAGCCUGCCGGCGGCCCACCAAACUCUGUUUGAUAUUGAAUUCUGAACCUAUAACUAAAUAAGUUAAAACUUUCAACAACGGAUCUCUUGGUUCUGGCAUCGAUGAAGAACGCAGCGAAAUGCGAUAAGUAAUGUGAAUUGCAGAAUUCAGUGAAUCAUCGAAUCUUUGAACGCAUAUUGCGCCCAUUAGUAUUCUAGUGGGCAGGACCGUUCGAGCGUCAUUUCAACCCUUAAGCCUUCGUUGCUUAGUGUUGGGAGCCUACGGCAACGUAGCUCCUCAAAGUUAGUGGCGGAGUUGGUUCACACUCUAGACGUAGUAAUUUUUUAUCUCGCCUAUUAGUUGGACUAAUCCCCUGCCGUAAAACCCCCAAUUUAUCAAGGUUGACCUCGAAUCGGUUCAGACAAACUCGCUAAAUUGAAGCAUCUUAGUCAGCGAAGGAAAAGAAACCAACAGGGAUUGCCCUAGUAACGGCGAGUGAAGCGGCAACAGCUCAAAUUUGAAAUCUGGCCCUCGGGUCCGAGUUGUAAUUUGUAGAGGAUGCUUUUGGCGCGGUGCCUUCCGAGUUCCCUGGAACGGGACGCCUUAGAGGGUGAGAGCCCCGUACGGUUGGACACCAAGCCUCUGUAAAGCUCCUUCGACGAGUCGAGUAGCUUGGGAAUGCUGCUCUAAAUGGGAGGUAAAUUUCUUCUAAAGCUAAAUAUUGGCCAGAGACCGAUAGCGCACAAGUAGAGUGAUCGAAAGA
rnacentral:rRNA from 1 species